GUAACAAGGUCUCCGUUGGUGAACCAGCGGAGGGAUCAUUACCGAGUUUACAACUCCCAAACCCCUGUGAACAUACCACUUGUUGCCUCGGCGGAUCAGCCCGCUCCCGGUAAAACGGGACGGCCCGCCAGAGGACCCCUAAACUCUGUUUCUAUAUGUAACUUCUGAGUAAAACCAUAAAUAAAUCAAAACUUUCAACAACGGAUCUCUUGGUUCUGGCAUCGAUGAAGAACGCAGCAAAAUGCGAUAAGUAAUGUGAAUUGCAGAAUUCAGUGAAUCAUCGAAUCUUUGAACGCACAUUGCGCCCGCCAGUAUUCUGGCGGGCAUGCCUGUUCGAGCGUCAUUUCAACCCUCAAGCACAGCUUGGUGUUGGGACUCGCGUUAAUUCGCGUUCCUCAAAUUGAUUGGCGGUCACGUCGAGCUUCCAUAGCGUAGUAGUAAAACCCUCGUUACUGGUAAUCGUCGCGGCCACGCCGUUAAACCCCAACUUCUGAAUGUUGACCUCGGAUCAGGUAGGAAUACCCGCUGAACCUAAGCAUA
rnacentral:misc_RNA from 1 species